rnacentral:rRNA from 1 species
GAUGAACGCUGGCGGCGUGCCUAAUACAUGCAAGUCGAGCGAACAGAUGAGGAGCUUGCUCCUCUGACGUUAGCGGCGGACGUGAGAGUAAAAUGAGGAUAACCUACCUAUAAGACUGGGAUAACUUCGGGAAACCGGAGCUAAUACUGUAUAAUAUAUUGAAGCGGAUGGUUCAAUAGUUAAAGACGGUUUUGCUGUCACUUCUACCUGGAUCCGCGCCGCAUUAGCUAGUUGGUAGGGUAACGGCUUACCAAGGCAACGAUGCGUAGCCGACCUGGGAGGGUGAUCGGCGACACUGGGGCUGAGACGCGAUCCAGACACCUAGGGGAGGCACCGGUAGGGAAUGUACCGCGAUGGGCGGAAGCCUGACGGAGCAGCGCCGGGUGGGUGAUGAAGGUCUUCGGGUGGUAAAACUCUGUUAGUAUGGAAGAACAAAUGCGUAAGUGACUAUGCACGUCUUGACGGUACCUACACAAGAAGCCACGGCUAACUACGUG